CCUUCCAGCGAUUUUGAGUGGAAAAACCGGUCAAACCUGCCAUGUCUCGCUCCUGAACCUACUCCUCCCGAUCCAAUCGUCCCGGCAAUCAUCGCACCUGCCCCUCCCGAUUCAGCCCCGCUCUUCCAUCUCGCGAGAGUCAGCCGCACCCCACCCGCCCCACGACCAUGGCGAUGUUUCGCUCCUCUAUCCAAUCUCCCUCUCCCUCUCAUCCUACCGCCGCCGCUUCCCAUGCUCUCGCUUGCCUGCCCCCCCUUGAGAUCCGAUGCCAACAAGCUACUAUGGCGGCCGUGUGACACACAGGAAGGAGGAGUUCCCACAGCAUCCUGCGCGGGGCAGGGUAUGCUACUAUAGGGGCUAGGGCAUCCCCACCCCUCUCCCUUCCCUCCUUUUUCUCUCUACUCCAAGCUUCAAUGACGGCAACUGUGGCCCCUACCCUCUGCUCCAUCAGCUCCUUGUCUCUGCAGAGCGUGUCAUCCUCCAUGGAUCCUGGUGGCGCUCAGGAUCUCUCACCGUAUGUCCAGCAAUAUCGGCCUUAAGAACGAUUGUGGACUAUGUCGCCUGCUCUAGAAAUCGAUGGACGCAACAGACCCCUCAUGGUGUUCAAGGAUGGUUUCAGCAGCUGGCAGUACUGGUACGUACGUGAUGCAGAGCAGUUCGGACCAUGGAAUUCUUCUACUCGAUUCAGAACAGCAUUAGCGUAAUGUGUCGGUCUGUACUUACAGUUUAUCGAUCCAAAUAGAUUUGCAAACAACUUGCUUUUCCAUCAUGCUCAUUUCUUGUUGGCAUUAGAAAAUAUCUCUGUUUUUCACAUUAGCACUUUCAAUAUGGAUUGUUCUUCAAAGUGCCAAAUGCCGCAUCAUUGCUUACGAUUCUGCCUAUUGGUGGGAGUGGUGCCAACAGUGUCCACAUAUGUAUCUUCUCAUUAUUCAUAUUUUGUUGUUCAAGAAAGUUAAAACUAUUAGCUUACUGGUUGCAGUAUAACUAUUUCUAGAAUUUACAAUGUGGUUUGUGUGCCUACCGAUUUAACUUGAUGAGAGAAAAAUUAAAUCUAUGUUAUUCAAAUUUUAGUGGGGACCGUUUUUGAUUUUUGAAAGCACUGCCUAGAAGGUAGCUCUAAAUAAAUCUUCAAUAAAAUCAGGAUUUUUUUUUGUUAAAUUUUGUACUUUUAGAAGCAGAUACUGUUCGUUGUUUUUUUAUUCACAACGGUACAUGUUCAGUUAUGUAUUCAUAUAUCACGUACAGAGUUUUAGAUACAAAGCAAACAGCUAAAAGGUAUUUCGGAUUGGAAGAGCUUAAUCUGUGAUGUGUGAUGUUUUCUAAUGGCACUGUUUAUUGUACUAUAAUUUAAGAUAUAACUCGUUAUAAUCCUGUUAAGUCGUACCUAUACAUCUGACAACCAACAUGUGUAGUGAUCUACUCAGCCAUCUUCUUAAAAUUGAAAUUUCUUGCUAAUUAUAGCUGCGUGCGAGAAUUGAUUUUCAAUCUGGUAGCCAUUAGUAUCUUGUAGAAGGGAGAUUACUUUACUUCAGGGUACAGGAUGUUCUGAUCUUUAUUUUUAUUGCUUUCUUAUAUGCCACUGAAUAUUUUUUUACAUUGACUUCCUUCCUUUCCUUUCAUUCUCAGUGAAGAAAGGAAGCCUUGUGCCAAGGAGAAACAGAACUCUCGCUGUUUCUUGUGUUCACCGUACCGAAGAAGUGUCCAAGGUGUGAUGCUAAUCUGAAGGUGUUUGUUUCAGUCUAAAGGCCAUCCAGAUCCUACUCCUGUACCUUUGCUAAAAAAAAGUUUGUUAUGAUGAAGGAUAAUUACAUGGCCAAGAAGCAAAUAAAAAGAAAGCAACUACGAUUUACAGAGAGAGGUUUGGGAUGAAGCUAUCAAGAAAGGAGACCAAUUCGGGCUUAACUCUGAAUUUGAGAUUUUCCAAGUCAGUUUUGAGUGCUCUUUUCCAAUCAUACAGGGAUGCAACAAUCUUGUCAAAGUAACAUAUGUUCCUUUGUUUCCAAAUGUUUCAGGCGGCCGGGACAUUGAUUGCAUUGAACAAUGGGUGUAGCCAUGAAGACUUCACUGCAUCAAACAUCUCCUGAAGCUCCAAGUUGGUGUCCCAUUGAAUAUUGAUGGAGUUCCAAUAGACCGCACUGAAGAUGCACUCAAAAAACAGGUGUUUGUCCGUUUCCAGUGGUGUGGUGUUACAGAAAAGACAUGAGUGACUGCAAUAUCAAAAUGUCUCCGGUGGAGCAUGUCCCUUGCGUUGACUCUGUCCAUUAACAUCAGCCAGGCGAACGCUUUAAGUUUCAUGAUACACUUUGUCUUCCAGAUCAUUGUGAUGUAUACGGGUGGCUGCAGUUCUCUGAAGAAGUUGGUGAAUUUCUUGGGCCGAAACUGAACUUCUCCCCAACAAGUAAUCCAUUCAUCAGCCAUCAUUGGUUCCAAGUAGAGAUCAUUUAUAUGAUUCUACAGACAUGUAAUUCCUGCAGCGCCUCGGUAGGGAGGUCAAAGUUUUCAGAAGCAUGUGGUCUGUCUUGGAAUUACACUAUAAAAAUAUCCUCCUCCCUUGUGAAAGAGAACAUGUGUGGCAGCUUGUUGGAAAGGGGUUCGUCAUCGAUCCAAAUAUCUUUCCAUAGAAGAAUUGUGUCACCUGCUUUAGGAAUGCAAGUUGUAACCCCUCUGUAUAUGUCCAUCAACGAGAACACAUCGUUCUGUAUAUCUUUCCAUAAAAGAAUCGUGUACAAUUUCUUAAGCGCAACAACUAGACAUUGAUUUGUAAUAGAAUUUUAGUUGGAUCAUCACUCUAUGUAUACAUAGUUGAUUUAUCAUUUUUUAUCAAUUUACAUUGCAAA